GUUUUAAAACAAUAAUAUAAAGUAUGUUCUCUAUUGGAAUUUUAAAAACAAAAGUUUAAAACAAAACGAAUAAUUUAAAAAAAAAAAGCUUUCAGUUCCUUAAUGUAAAAAAACUACCACAUGUAUUCACAUGUUUUAAAAUUGACAAUGGAAAUGCAAUGGGGAGUGUGUCAACGAGACAACAACCCGACCAAAGAGCAGAUAACAGCCG
rnacentral:lncRNA from 1 species